AUUGCAUGUUUUUACACUUUAGAAUUUGAUUGUAUUUUUAAUUGCAUGUUUUUACACUUUGGAAUUUGAUUGUUUUUUCAAUUGCAUGUUUUUACACUUUGGAAUUUGAUUGUAUCUUUAAUUGCAUGUUUUUACACUUUAGAAUUUGAUUGUAUUUUUAAUUGCAUGUUUUUAAACACUUUAGAAUUUGAUUGUAUUUUUAAUUGCAUGUUUUUACACUUUGGAUUUUGAUUGUAUUUUUAAUUGCAUGUUUUUACACUUUAGCAUUUGAUUGUAUUUUUAAUUGCAUGUUUUUACACUUUGGAAUUUGAUUGUAUUUUUCAUUGCAUGUUUUUACACCUUGUGGACUUUGCUGGCAUUUUAAGACUUGCCCCUUUUAGCUUGUUGCCCCUAGCAACCAAGGUGCCCGAUCGAACGGCACCUGAAAAUAGACGCACCUGUGGAGCAUUAGGACUGCACAUGUAAAAGGAGAGAACAUGUAAAGAUCGAGGGAAACGACAGGAGGAGGAAGCGACCGGAGAGGAUCGACAGGCUUUGACAAGAGCGACCGGGUGGACGCACGCAGGCUGGGAAGGAACCCCCCGGACUACACAGCAGACCCCGCAGACUACCGGAGCGAACCCCAAGAAGCCCACAACACGCAGGGGCAGAGGAAACUCAGAAGUAAGUGUCGUGUAUUGUGGAUCUGUGGGGGCAUCCAACUGCCUUAUUGGGCUGUGGGCUUGCGGGCUUGUGCGUUGUGCGCUGGCUGUGUGGUUCUGUGGACAGGGGCGAUCGGGACCUAGAGACCUGCGGUGACCCCCGGGAGCGACCAAGAGGCAGCUAGGGCGAGACGGGACGAGUACGACCACGUAGGUCCCACAAGAGACUGGUGAGGAGAGUGGGCGUACCCAAUACUUCGACGUGGAACUACAGCAGAGGCAGGGUUCCCUGCCUUGCGUGGACCUCCUGUUUGCAUUCUGUCUGCCUUCUUUGCAUCAUGGGAUCACGCCAACAGCACCCAUAUGCGAGACUGUGGCAGAACCGAAUUGAGACCCUAAAAUGGAGCUCUCGAUCACGGAAUUACCCCAAAUUCCUACUUUAGCGUCAUCCCAACCUCACAGUCUGCACGGCCACGAGAGCUGCUUUUCUCCUCAGAACUGCAGGAGCAUGUGACUGGGAAGAUGGAUGGAUGGAUGGCACACAUGGCUACUUGUUGGUGAUGUGGCAGUGCAUGAGGGCGGUACGAGAACAAGGUUCACUUAUUCUAACAGACUGGCAGCGUCUCUCUCUCUCUCUCUCUUCCACACUGGUUUUCUCCCACAUUUCUCUGGAUUACUUCAACAUUCCCUUGGAUCCAUCCUCUGUCACCAACGGAGCAGAGAGCUGCCCCUGUCUCCAUGUGCUUCCUUCUAUAAAAUAUGGCUCCAAUCCCACUCCUCUACUUGGGACGCCAAUGGUCGCCUCCGUUCCCAUCCCGAGCAGCCGCCAUCAAAGCUUCUAUUUAUUGAGCCUCGAACAUGGCUGCUAUUGUUGGCCAUGUGGGGCCGGUGGGCUGGCAGCGACUUGGGUAAACACGCUCCUGAGAGUGCGCAGUGUGUUGAAAUGUGUGGAACACCGGUCAUGUGAUGUUAAAGUGGUAAGCCAGUUAACUCCCUGUGACCUUGCAAUGUGACAUCCUGACAAGAAAUCCUUAUCUGCAGUUAUCUGCAUCCUAAAUGGCAAUUUGGCUGUGAUUGGGUGUAUUAUUCUACCUUUUUACGGCUUCAGGAAUGUUUUGGGCAUGGCCAAAGGUGCAAACCAUUCGUGUUAAUUGUACCUUGAGGAGCUAUACAAGACUUAGACCUAGAUUUCCUUUUUAUUGUCAUUCAAAUUUGAACUUUACAGCACAGAUAAGAACGAAAUUUCGUUACAUAAGCUCAUGGUAGUGCAGGAUAAAAAAGCAAUAAGGUGCAUAUAUGAAUAAACAAAUAUAUAUAUAUAAAUAAAUAGAUUACUGUACAGAUAAAUAUAUUGCACUUUUUCACAUGCGUCCACGUUUAUGGAUGUAUGUUAUAUUGUCUUUUUUAUUCCAGCGAGUUAAUCCAUUUUGGGGGGAGUUGAGGGGAUAAUUUAAUUAUGAUGCAUUCAAGAGUCUUAACGGCCUGAGGGAAGAAGCUUUUACAGAACCUGGAGGUUCUGCUUCGGAGGCUGCGGAACCUCUUUUUAGAGUCCAGCAGUGAAAACAGUCCUUGGUGGGGGUGGGAGGAGUCUUUGCAGAUUUUCUGAGCCCUGGUCAGGCAGCGGCUUUUUGCGAUCUCCUGGAUAAGAGGAAGAGGAGUCCUCACCACUCUCUGGAGAGACUUCCAGUCUGAGGCAAUGCAGGCUCCAUUCCAGACAGAGAUUCUCUAUAGUGCCUCUGUAGAAUGUGGUGAGAAUGGGGGGAGGGAGCUGUGCUCUUUUCAUCCGACGCAAAAAGAGCAUGCGCUGCUGAGCUCUUUUUACAAGAGCUCCGGUGUGUAGGGGCCAGGUUAUAUUGUCAAGAGCUGUUCAACUAAAUUGUCAGGGCCUGGACUUUUUCCUUCACUAUUAUUCCAAUUAUUGAUACCAUUCAUUCAAAAAUGUUUGACAAAAUGGAUAAUAAGCUCACAAAUUAAGACGAAGAAGCACUAAGUUAAAGCUAUAAGAUAUGACAAGGGUGCUUUUCGUUUUUUAAGGACCGAGUGCAAAAACGCCGCUAUGUCAGUGUUUCUUAACCAUAGGGCGCUCAAAAAUGUGUUGUGUCUCAGCUGUGGUCUGUAUGGGCCGCAGCAAUACUCAGUUGUAAUACCCUUUUCCACCACUUGGAGUUAAAGUUAAAGUACCACUGAUAGUCACACACACACUGUGUGCAUUUGACCCAUCCCCUUGUUCAACCACCCUGGGAGGUGAGGGAAGCAGUGAGCAGCAGCGGUGGCCACGCUCGGGAAUCAUUUUUGGUGAUUUAACCCCCAAUUCCAACCCUUGAUGCUUAGUGCCUAUAGCAAGGAGGUAAUGGGUCCCAUUUGUAUAGUCUUUGGUAUGACUCGGCCGGGGUUUGAACUCACAACCUACUGAUUUUGUGGCAGUAUUGAGAAUAUCAUCUAUCCCAUCCAUCCAUUUUCUACCGAUUGUCCCUCUCGGGGUCACGGUGGUUGCUGGAGCCUAUCCCAGCUGCAUUCGGGCGGAAGGUGGGGUACACCCUGGACAAGUCCCCAAUACAUCGUAGGGCCAACGGAGUUAAACAACAUUCAAAUUAUCAACCUAAAUACAUUUUUUAAGCGCAAAAAUGAUGACUAAAGUUGCUGUAUUUUUUUUAAUUUGCAUUUUCAAUUUUGACAUUUGAGUGAAGAAACAUAUUAAUUAUUAUUUCAUUUUAUACAAAAUUAACAUGAUUGUAUGUGAAUUUAUUUUUUGUCAGUUAUUCAUGGGUCCCUUCUUAUGCAGUACAAUAUAUGGUUACUAUUUAUUGUUCUAAUCAGCCUGACCUAAGCCUAAAUUAGGUUGAUGUGUCAAAUAAAUAAUAAUCUUUGUGAUUAACACAUGGUUUCAUAUCAUUUGACAAGGUUGUAAACUAAAUGGGUUAAAUAUAAUUAUUGAAUAUGAUUACAAUUAAGUAUAGGAUUGAUCAGUGACAAUAUUUGAGUGGGCCCCUGGCCCCUCUGUAGUGGAAAAGUUGUAGGUUGUAGGUCAAAAAAGUCUGUGACAUAGCACUCUAUUGCAAAAGUUCUAAUCAAAAUCUGUAACAACUAAAAUAUAGAACAAAUAAGCACAAUUUCAAUGCUAUAUAAAGCUAUGAAAGAACCAUUUGAAAUGCUUCAAAAAUGCUAAUCAAAGAUCCUCAAACUGGGACCCACAUUUUACAACGGUCAUUAAGUCGCGACCCACUUUUUUUUUUUCAAAAGGGUUAUAUUAUCUUUGUUUUUCUACAGUUAAAAAACGUCCUUGUGGUCUACAUAACAUGUAACUGUGUUUCUUUGGUCAAAACUUUGCAUGGAUUAUGUUUUACAGACCGUUUGACCCGCUUUCUAAACGUCUCUUAAGGAUGCGCCGUUUUAGUGGCCGGUCUUAUUUACGUGCCUCCACUUUGACCGCGUCUUUUCCCCGUCAGCUAUGUCGUAGUUUUUUAGCGCUUCUGUUUGAAGACUAAUAUACAUUUUAACUAUGCACUACUUUUGUAUUAGAAAUUGCAACAGCUUGGGAUGCAUGUGCAUGUAUGAGCCAGUCUGCCCCACAACAAGAGGAUGGAGAAAAGGAAGGAAUUUACUGACUGCAGCGUUUGACUACAAUGGCAUACUCGCGCAAAACCUUUUCGGGUGAACCUUUACCAUACAUGGAGAUAUAAGCUGACGUAACACUUGGGGAAAAUGUCACAAAUUGAGCAAUUUUUAAGCAGCCCGUUUGGAGGAAGUAUGAAGGAAGGCAAGAUUGUUUUGUAAAUAUCUCCGCCAUGCCUCCAUGGAUUGAUUUCAAUUUUUUGGACUCAUGCAGAUCCCAAAUACACAAAAACAGGUACCAAUAAGUAUAACAUCUGCGCUUUCUGAGUGCUUUUUCUGGAUGUUUUGUUUUGGACUCUUGUCCACACACAUAUAUAUAUAGCUUUUUCCUUAAUAACUGAGCAUGAAUGUAAUAAAAAUUGACACACGCAAUUGUUUAUUGCUCUGCCGGAGAAGAGUGGGGAUUACUCAAAGAACAGAAAACUUGCGCAUUUGUUUAAAAAAAACCAAGGCCUUAUUAUUUCUAUGGAAUGUUGUGACAUUUGAACAGACUAGUAUCGUAUUUUUCGGACUAUAAGUCGCAGUUUUUUUCAAAGUUUGGCCGGGCUCCAGUGCAACUUAUAUAUGUUGUUUUCCUUUUUUUUAAUGCAUUUUCGGCAGGUGCGACUUAUACUCCGGUGCGACUUAUACUCCGAAAAAUACGGUACUUUAGGAACUUAAAUUGUAUAAAUGAAAUGUAACUAAGUAAUAUAUUCAAAACGAAGAAAUAACAUUUACAACAAAUUGUCAUAAUUAUUGCACAAAGAGAAUAUGCAAAAACACAGACUGAAUUUGUUAAUACUCAUAAUUCCUAGGGUUUGUGAAUGCAACCUCCCUGGCUGUAACCAUCAUUGGUGCAUAAUAGAAUUAAUGAAUGAAAUAAGUUUAUUUCGGUCAUAUAAUCAACCAUUAACCAUUUUAUGUGACCAGUUUAACAGUACAGAUUGUACAUAUAUAACAAUCAGACACAUUUACACACAAAAGGAAAAGAAAAAAGAAAAAGCAUGACCGAAAAAGGAAUAGGCUGAAGCCAAAGCUUAUAUUUGCCUAUCCUAAACCUUCACUGAAAAUAAGAUUACCUGGAACAUCAAUGUUAAAAAAAAAAAAAUCAAAAUCAAUGGGAUGAAAGUAAUUGUUACUAUAUUUUAUAAUUUUCAAUUAUUUCACCUUUCAAUGUUUUCUUAAACCUUAACAAAGAAGUACAUGUCUUCAGCUCAUCACUAAGCUUGUUCCACCAUUUAACUCCUAAAACCGAAAAACAUAUGUGUCAUGUCUGUGUAAUCAUGUUUCGUUUUAAGUCAUGUUUUGUUUAGUUUCUGGCUUUUCACUCCCUUGUCUUGUUUGCAUGAUUACCCAUUAGUUUCACCUGUUCCACGUUUGGACUCAUUGUGCACUCUUGAUUGUCACCAUAGCAACCCAUUAGUUUUCACCUGUCACGUCACGCACCUGUUUUCGUUAAUCAUGGCUGUAGUAUUUAAGUUCAGUGUUUUUCAGUUUGUCUUUCUGACGACCUCAACACAUUUAUGCUCUGUUCAUGCCUGAUACUUCUUUCCAUGUCAAUUCCUCAAGCAACUAUUUUUGUCCAAGCCAAGUAAGUUUUUGUUCCAUAUUUAUAGUCUUUUUGGUUUCAUAGUUUGUUCUCCGCCAUUGUGCGUGUUUUUUUGUUUGUACUUUUUGCUAUAGUCUUUUGGUUUCAUAGUUUAUUCUCCGCCACUGUGCGCGCUUUCAUUUAUUCCUUUUUUUGAUAAUAAUAAAUCAUGUACCUUCAUUCCCGUCUCGCACGAGCCAACUUUCCGUUGCAUCCUGGAAAAGCACACACCCCGGACCAAGUCUUGACAAUAUGUAUUUAAUAUUCGUAAUGAGGAAGUCUUGUCAAUGUGUUGUUGUGUUUGGGGCUCUGCAAUGCCAGCAGUGUAAUUAUGGGGAUGCUGUUUUGGCGCGGUAGGGCUGACAAAGUUUAAAAAGAGCGACAGACUCUGUAUGCUUGUCGGGACGCUCGUAGAAUAUCACCGUGAAACACUUGUUGCAGGUGGCUGAGUUUGCAUUCAUUUAACACUGAAAUCAGGCACCAACAGUUACUUUUUUUCCGUGUGGUUACGACAGUUUACGUUGCCAUUAAGUAAACCGGGUUUCGGUGCCCAUCCCUACUCAACAGAUGAUCUGACCGUCACAGAUGAACAGAAACACAGUUGUAUUUUGUAUUCUAUGGCUCAAGACUAGUACUUAAGAUGUAUCUGUAGAUAGAUAAACUAGGUUAAUAAUUAACAACCUAAAAUAUAUUGUGUUCAUCACCUUAUUGUUUGUGGGGGUUUUCCCCCAUCAUAUAUUUCAACUUGUGCAAUCUAGGCCUCCCGACUGUGUUAAGGUCAUCUUGCCCUUACAUUUUUAGUAACAGUAGUCCUAUGGAGUCCUUCAUCGUUGAUUGACAACUGUCGUUGAAGCAUUCACUAAUCAGAGCGCUACAGAUGAGGGGCGUCUCCCUUAACGCUACUGCCAUUGGUGGCAUGUCAACCCAUAUGGUCUGGCUUGGCUUUCCCUGUAUCAACAUUUUUGGGCCAACAAAAUCAAAGUGCAAAUAAGUGACAAAAUGGAAUGGGUUAUUUUAAGCUGAGGAACCCAUUGACGAUUUCCAAAGGCCAGGAUGGAACAUAAGAGCUUUAAGAGCUAGGCCUCUUCUGGACAGAAUACAGCAAGGAUACCUUAUCCUGUAAAAAACAGGAACGUUUUUCAUUGAUAAGCAAAUGAUCCUUUAUAUGGACUGUUGUCAAUCGGUGUGGCAAUUUGUUCCUGACAAGCCAUACCUUAAAAGCUUAUUGUUUUUGUUUCUUCAGAUGGUCUGAUGCUUGGCUUGCUAGUGUAUCAAGGAAAGGAUACUCUUGCUGAUCACAGGUUGGGGCAGAAGCAGUCCUGCACUUGGUUAAAACUGCUCCCACCGAUAGUCACACAUAGUUGAAAAGAAUAGUGUGUCAGUGAUAAAAGUCAGAAGAAGUCAAAGUAUGCUGACCACAAAAUGGUAUGACACCAAGUCAGUGACAAUGGCUUUUACUGCACAUGGGAAAGAGGCUGAUGAUGUCUGCACCAGAUGGUCAAAUAAAGACAAAUACCAGGUCCCGGUGAGAUGACCCUCAUAAAAGAGUACAAUGACAACAUGGGUCGUGUGGACCUCUGUGAUCGCCUGCUGAGAUUAUAUUGUGUUACUAGAAGAACCAAGAAAUGGACCAUGUGCGUCUUUGAUGUUGCCAUCACAAUUUUCUGGUUGCACUACCAGUCCGACAGCAUAGAGCAGGAGUGUUCAAACUUUUUAACUGGGGGGAAAAAAUUGGCGGACUGCAUGCAAAGUAACUAUAUAUACACACAAAGAUAUAUAUGUAUGCGUGUGUGUAUAUGUAUGCGUAUGUGCAUAUCUAAAUGUAUAUAUAUGUGUGUGUAUAUAUGUACAUAUAGGAAGUCAAUGGAACUAUCUUGCAGUGUUUUUACUCAGCCGUAUUCUUUAAACUAUAUGCAGUUUAUUGUUGUUUAUUAUUUUUUUUACAAACUUCAUUUUCGUACGUGAAGCUACGAGAAGUGGAUAGAAUCCUUGUAAACGUAUUUACAGAGGAGUAUGAAGUAAUCAGCUUACUACUCUGAGACUUUGUUGGAUACAUGUGACAUAAAGGAGACAACAAACAAAUGGAACCAACGUAAAUCCCAUCAAAUGUUCAGUUUUUACUUCGUUAGAUGCUGUGAAAAUAGUCAGUGACAUGUCAUUUGUGUAGUUGUUAGCCUUAACCCGAGUGGUUAAAGCGGAGGGGAAAAUUACAAGGACGAUACUCCCAGAGAUGAGUGCCAUGUACACAACUCGCUGCCUAAAGCGAGUACACAACAUCCUGAAGGACAGAUACCACCCAGCACAUGGCCUCUUCAACCUGCUACCCUCUGGAAUAGAUCAAUUUGCGCCAGGACCACCAGAAUGUCUCACAGUCUGUAUCCCCAGGCUGUGAGACUGCUAAAUGAACAGCCUGCCCCUUUGGUGCCCCGGACCAUCUUAUUACCUCACUCUUCACCACCUCAAUAAUUGUGCUAUGGACAUUGCAUUGCUGCAACAUCAACGUAACACCCAUCAGACAUCUGACUGUUCCCACCACCCACGUCCCUCUUAUCGCGAUCUUCCUGACAAUGCUAAAAUGUAAACAAUUGUCAACCUGCACAUCAAUGCAGUUUCUAUGCCGCUGGACAAAGCUCAAACAAAAUCUCGUUGACAUGUAUGACUUAAGUGUUAGUAUGACAAUGACAAUAAAGGAAUUGAUUGAUUGAUUGAUUGAUUGAAUGAACCGAA